GUCUGCAACCCAUUGCUUAAGCUGUCUUAAAAAAACCAAAAUACCCACUUUGGUUAAUACAGAGAAACUAGCAGGAACAGGCUGAAAGUUAACACACCAAGAUGUAGUUGUCUGAAGAGGAGAAGUGAGAGGGACAGAGCCAGCCACAGUCAAAACUCCACUCCCAGCAAGAAGAACAGAGGAAUAAAAACUAAUAAGAAGUUCUCCAGAUCAUUUUGGACCACAAACACAACGAUUACCUGUGCAGGUGCUUGUGGCAGCAGACCUUGAGGUACUUGAGACCCAUCCCUGCCGGCAUCCUCGCAGGCACAGCAGCAGGAGCUUGGUCCUGCUGCCCUGCCUGCACCUGAAGCUGUGUCCGAAGGCAGCUGAGCUGGAUCAGCCUCUUCCAACCCCAUGUGGUCCUGCUGGGACUUGCACCGCUGACACUCAACGUGGCAUCUGGCUGCUGCUCAUCCUCACCUGCCUUCCCCUCAUCCCUUGUGUGGCUGGAGGAACAGGGCUUGUUUGCCUGCUUUGGCAGAGGAAGACACAGGAGGUAUGGAGAAAUAACACUGUGUGUUUUCCUUAUUCUAUUAUUGGUGUAAAUCCUGGUGAGAAACCAAAGACUGAAUGUUUAAAAGAGCUUUAAAAAAAGAGUUUAAAAGAAUGUUUAAUUAGAGACUACAUAGGUUUGGCGGCUGAAUCACCUGACAAUAAUCUCUUUAAAUUGCUGGGCCAGGAUUGGAGUCACAUCUCUAGGAACACCACAUUAUAAAAAAUCAAUAUUAAAAUUAGUAUUCUUAAAUUUUCUCUACAGAGAGUCUGUU